UCCGUAGCCAUUUUGGC
rnacentral:sRNA from 1 species